rnacentral:lncRNA from 10 species
AUGUGCUUGAGAUGUAAACUAGAUUUAAUACAUACAAAAUUCUUAUUUUCCCAUUCAAUUUAAUAAAAAUUCCAAAAGAUCAUUUUAUUUUCAAAAAGAAACUUGUUGAAAUAAUUACCUAUUGAGGACCAGAAAUCCCAAAGGAUUAGUUAUGGAUAUAGAGCUUUCAAGUUUCUGGGUCACUGAAUGGAAUCUGAAACCAACCCCAUGGUGACUGAAGGGUAUUAUCAGGAAAAACUGUUAAAUGACCUUUAUCAAAUGGUCUCAGUGGGAGACAGGUGUCCACUGUUGCUGACCAUCUGGUGAGGAUCGGCACCACCUUUCUUUCACCUUCC